UACAGAGGGUGCGAGCGUUAAUCGGAAUUACUGGGCGUAAAGCGCACGUAGGCGGCUUGGUAUGUCGGGUGUGAAAUCCCCGGGCUCAACCUGGGAACUGCAUCCGAAACUGCCUUGCUAGAGUAUGGGAGAGGGAAGUGGAAUUUCCAGUGUAGCGGUGAAAUGCGUAGAUAUCGGAAGGAACAUCAGUGGCGAAGGCGACUUCCUGGACCAAUACUGACGCUCAGGUGCGAAAGCGUGGGGAGCAAACAGG
rnacentral:rRNA from 1 species